UACAGAGGGUGCAAGCGUUGUCCGGAAUCACGUGGCGUAAAGGGCGCGUAGGCGGCCUGGUAAGUAGGGGGUGAAAGAUCAGGGCUUAACCCUGAACCCGCCCUUCUAAACUGCCAGCUCGAGCACAGUAGAGGCAGGUGGAAUUCCCGGGUGUAGCGGAUGGAAUGCGUAGGAGAUCGGGAAGAACAUCGGUGGCGAAGGCGGCCUGCUGGGCUGUGAGCUGACGCUGAGGCGCGACAGCGUGGGGGAGCAAACAGG
rnacentral:rRNA from 1 species